GACGUAGGGCGCGAGCGUUGUCCGGAUUUAUUGGGCGUAAAGAGCUCGUAGGCGGUUUGUCGCGUCGUUCGUGAAAACUCACAGCUUAACUGUGAGCUUGCGGUCGAUACGGGCAGGCUAGAGUUCGGUAGGGGAGACUGGAAUUCCUGGUGUAGCGGUGAAAUGCGCAGAUAUCAGGAGGAACACCGGUGGCGAAGGCGGUUCUCUGGGCCUUACCUGACGCUGAGGAGCGAAAGCGUGGGGAGCGAACAGG
rnacentral:rRNA from 1 species